GCCCCGGUAGCUCAGCCGGUGGAGCGCCGCCUUGGUAAGGCGGAGGUCGCGGGUUCGAAUCCCGCCCGGGGCU
rnacentral:tRNA from 1 species